rnacentral:rRNA from 1 species
CAGCCGCCGCGGUAAUACGGAGGGGGCUAGCGUUGUUCGGAAUUACUGGGCGUAAAGCGCACGCAGGCGGCUUGGUAAGUUAGAGGUGAAAGCCUGGAGCUCAACUCCAGAAUUGCCUUUAAGACUGCCGAGCUAGCAGGUGAGAGAGGUAAGUGGAAUUCCGAGUGUAGAGGUGAAAUUCGUAGAUAUUCGGAAGAACACCAGUGGCGAAGGCGGCUUACUGGCUCAUACUAGACGCUGAGGUGCGAAAGCGUGGGGAGCAAACAGGAUUAGAUACCCGCGUAGUCCCUGUCUCUUAUAC